rnacentral:rRNA from 1 species
GAUGAACGCUGGCGGCGUGCCUAAUACAUGCAAGUCGAGCGAACAGACGAGAGUGCUUGCACUCUCUGACGUUAGCGGCGGACGGGUGAGUAACACGUGGGUAACCUACCUAUAAGACUGGGAUCACUUCGGGAAACCGGAGCUAAUACCGGAUAAUAUUUAGCUUCGCAUGACGCAAUAGUGAAAGACGGUUCUUCUGUCACUUAUAGAUGGACCCGCGGUGUAUUAGCUAGUUGGUGAGGUAACGGCUCACCAAGGCAACGAUACAUAGCCGACCUGAGAGGGUGAUCGGCCACACUGGGACUGAGACACGGCCCAGACUCCUACGGGAGGCAGCAGUAGGGAAUCUUCCGCAAUGGACGAAAGUCUGACGGAGCAAUGCCGCGUGAGUGAAGAAGGUUUUCGGAUCGUAAAACUCUGUUGUAAGGGAAGAACAAGUACGUUAGUAACUGAACGUACCUUGACGGUACCUUACCAGAAAGCCACGGCUAACUACGUG